GGGCGAAGCUGGGGGGGCAGCGGGACCCUCGGCGGGCGGCAGAGGGCGCCCCGAAUUCCGUCAGAGAGGGGCCGGGAGGAGCCUCCGGCUCGGCUCGGCCGAGGAGGGAGGGAGGGGAGGAGGAGGAGGAGGAGGAGGCAGAGGAGGGAGCUGCCACGUCCUCUGCGCCGAGCGGCGCCAGCCCCCGCGCCUCACUCAGCCCCACGUGUGGCGGAGCGGGGAAGUUGCGGCGGGGAGCCCGGACUCUGCCCCUCUCUGGCCGCCCGUCCCUGCUCUCGGGAGGGCGCAGCUCCGACUGUAGAACUGCCUUCCUGAGUGGGAGAAUCAGAGAGUGAGACCUUUCUGUUCUGUGUCCAGAGUAAAACGCAGAAGCCAGCAGUAGCAGUUGGAGUGAGAACCCAUUUGACUUUUUGGACCCUUGCCCUUGUUAAUAACAACAGGAUGGGUUAUCGCUAUUGAAAGCGGUGUGAUUGUUUUUUUUGUUUUGUUUUAAAGAAAGGUAUUAAAUUUAUUGCGUGUUAAAGGGGGAGCAGGGGUUGUUUCAAACACCCAAAGAAACCUGUAGGAAUAAAUCUUUGCAGGAAAUUUAGUAACGGGCUGAAAUAUUCAAGUCGGUCUGUAUUUAUUAACAUGAAGUUCCUCCCGGGCUAAUUAUCCCCCUCCCAACACCGACAGCAUGUAGCUCUACAGUGCCUUGCAGGCGGACCUCCACUUCUGUCUACGCUCCUAAAUAAUUAGAUAGGAGUUGGAUCUUGUCUGUAAGCCACCUAGCUUUGUUAUUUCAGUGCUCAAUUUAAAAAGCAGCGCUGAGAGACUGGCCUUUUUAGCUUAAGCACAACACCUCUUUAAUGAACUGCUGCAGCUUUUGAACUGGAGCUGGUUUGCAUCGGAUCUUCUCUGAACAGGAGUGAGGAAAUUUGGGACCAGACGUUCCUCAUGGCUGCACUCCGAAAUCAUGACAGAUAGCGUCACUGAAACAUGAAGAUUUCAAUUUUAGCACUGCAAGUAUUGUCUUCAGCUACUCGCCAGCUCCGCCUCGUAACUUCUGCCUGGAAGCAGUGGGCAUGGUGACCCAGAGCAUCUGAUAGCACAGGAGCCAAAGUUACCCGUAUCGCGAGUCAGGUUUGCAGAAGCGUGAGGUGCCUGGUGUUGGACAAAAAACGCAGGAGCAGUUUUGGCUUGUGACUGCAGGAGCUGGGUGUUAGCAGGUCUGAGUUCUUCUGCAAGUCCCACAGGGCACCCAGGUCGUCUGAAGGAAUGAAGGGAAGAUGCAAGGGUUUUCACUUUUCUCUUACACCUGUGAAAACCGAAGCACAAGAAAAACAAGUGGCGGAGCUGGACCUUGGCCUGGCUGGUCGGAGAGGCUGCGUGCAGACCCGAGGAGGAGAUCCAGAAGUGCAGUACUCAGCGGGCACCCGCGCAGCCGGAGUCGGCUCUGCCUUUCCUGGCGCCCGGGAGCAGCCAUGUGAGGAGCCAUGUGAGGAGCUUCUACCUGCAGAUCACUAAUGGCCAGGGUUAAUUUUACAACAAAAGGAGGCAGCGGAUUGCCAGAAAUUCAGUUUUUCAGGGUCAAGUUGUAGCACUGCAGUGUCAGAGAGAAGAGGCAGCCUCUGAAAUGGAUGUUCCAAACAGCUACACCCUGUCACUGCUUGCCAUUCAUAAAAGGAAGGUGAAGUUAAAGACAGGCUGUUGUGGACUGCAGAUGUUCCACUUCUACUGGACUCUGUUAAUCUUUUCUGUUGGUAUUCCUGCAAAUGUCCCAGCUGGAGGAGUCACUGACCAGCAAAAGCAGUAGCUGACCCAGUUUGGUGUUCAUUUCCAGCGUCGGAGGUGCUUGGGCUGGGUUGAGCAGUUCCUAGAAAUGGGAGGCAGCCUCAGGGGGAUGCAUACAGCGUGUGACAGCACUUGGAGUGGAAAGAAGACUCUCAGCUUCUGUUUGAGGAGAAAAGGCAAGUUUCCAGCUCUCCUGCAGAGUGAGUACGCUGGUCACUGAGCUUGGAAAUGAGUUUGCACAAGACUGGAGUACACCGAAGCCAUCGCUUUCUCAUCACCCUUCUGAGAGCAGCUUGAUCUGAGACACAGGCAGUGCUAACUAGAUUAUUAAUUACAGGCAUCCUGAUGCUAUAUUAUCUCCUUCCACUCCUUGUCCAAGUUUGGCCUUUCCAGUGGGCAAGCGGGACAAUUAGUGGCCAGUGAAGCCCAUGUGUGGCUAGUGAGAGGCCUGGAAGUGGAUAAGGACGGCUGUGACCCUUACUCUGCUUGCACAACACGGGCCACAAAAUUUUGUCUUAUGCAGCUGAACAUCAGUUUUUAAGCACUGCUCUGCACCAGCAGGAAUACACCUGCACGUACAUGUACAAUGUCCUGGACCUUUCCUGUGGGUGAAUUCUCCUGCAGAAACCACACAGGCUUCUAGAGGCAGCAGGAGCCUGGCAGCAGCUUGCAGAGCCUGGCUGAUUCAUUUCUGUGGUUUAGGUAGGAUGAACCCCGAGGCUCAUCUGGCUAAAAACUGUAGGCUGGUUUCUGCACAAGGCCAUCUCUGCUGGUAGCAAAGCCAAGUAGCCCGGUCUACUGGAAGCGUGUUUGAAGAUCGAUGCCAGAUUCCCAAACUGGAGAGCAUCAGCUUGCGACUCAAGUGGUGCUGACAUUUGCAGGAAGGCUUUAUGUUCCAAGCCAUCAGAUGCUAGCUAGUGUAUGUAAUUAACUUGGUAUCAUUUUGCUUCACAAUGAAAUAUUCAAAAGAGACUUGAUGUUUCUAAUGUCUGGGUAGCAAGUGAUGCUGUGUAGAGCAAGGCAUACGUUUAUUGUUUGAGAGCUUGGUUUCAUGGCAACUCCUGUUUGUUACUAUGUUACGCAGAAAGUCCCAAAGGAUUUCACUGUCCAUCACUUCUUAGGUCUUGUGAGUAAUCCAGACACAAAACCCACUGACGUGCACUAACAGUAGAAACAGAAAACAAUAUGAAAAUACGUGAAACGCAUCUCUAGUUAUCCCAGGGGAUAAACGUAAAGCUCUGUUUUGCAUAGUAGUUUCUCCAGAGUUCGGUAACAAAGCUUGUGACCAGAGUAGGAGGAAAAUGGAAACUGGAGGAGAAAAACAGAGAUUUGUUUUUCCCCAGAGGAAUCUAAGAAUAAGUUGGAAAAGUGAUUAACAAAACAACAACAACAACAAAAAAAAAACAGCCUCCCCCCAAAACACAGUUUGCAGAAGUUGCAAUACCAAAGACUUUCUCCUGAGUCAAUAAGAGAGAUGAGGAUUUGACGAAAGGAACAGGUAACGUUUAGAAAUCAGGUAGUCUUAUUUGAUUAAACAGACUGGAACAGGGUGUGGUGUAUUUGCUCCAUCCCUUUCCUAUUUGCCUCCUUGCUGUGAAGUUCACUGACCACUUCUGGUCUCUAAAUACGUUCUGCAUUUCAACUCUAGUGCUGCAGCUGGCGGAAGGAAGACUUUCUAAGACUUGAACUUUGUCUCCUCUUUUGAGAAUCACCCCAGCCACCCAAAUUUCCCUUUUAUGCUUUAUCAACACUGACGGGAACUGUUUGCCUCGGAGGCCAGGUUGAAUUUACGGAGUUUAAGAUCAGAAGAAGCUGGCAAGGUGUGCACAUGGGAUGCUGAAGGAGCAACCCCAGCUGCCCAUGGGUCCUUCACACUGGGCUUGUUCCUCUGGAUGGCACCCAGGGAGGACCUCGUACAGACAGACAGACAGACGUACAGACCUGCUGGUUUGCUGGUGGGUUCCCAACGCCACAGGAUCGUUCUGCUAGUCUGGUCGCUUCCGUGGCUUUGGGUUGGUGGAGUUGUUCCGCAUUGUACCCGAAUGAUGACCUGAUGAUGAAACAUCUCGCCAACCUAACCGACUGGAUGAGAUUCACAACAGGCAGCUUGCUGUUAGGAGAAGGGAUGAAAGAAAGGAUGAAAGCCCUUCUGCAGCUGCACCUAGCUGAUAGGCAGUCAUAAGACAACUUGUAAUGUUGACCAAGAUGAUGCAUCGAGAAGAAAUCGUGCCCGUGGUGAACUGCGAGCGCGUUGCAGCUUUGCUUGUUGCCGUGUGCUCACCACCUGCAGCAGCACGCUAACAUCGGGUUUAUAUUGCGAUAGAAAAAAAGAGAGAAAGGAAAGAGGCAGUUGCAGUCACCCACUAAUUUCUUCAAAAGUUUAAUUCCCGUUAGUUGCACAGCCAUCCGUUUGAAGGAGACGGAAUAUUUCAGCCCCUUGCCUCGAGAGACCUUGGCCCAUCUUCUGCAGCUCAACUCCCCUCACUCCUCCGCUUUGGCAACCAAAAGAUCCUCAGGGGAAAAUGAGGCAGCUAAGAGGAAAGCCCAAAAAAGAGACCUCCAAAGACAAAAAGGAGAGGAAACAGGCGAUGCAAGAGGCCCGGCAACAGAUCACCACCGUAGUGCUUCCCACGCUGGCCAUCGUAGUACUGCUGAUUGUGGUGUUUGUUUAUGUAGCAACUCGUCCAAAUACGACUGAAUGAUGCGGCGCUUCGGACUUUCUACCUUUGGGUUAUUAAUGCUUUUAUCAAGAGCCAAAAGAAACUCUCUGCCACUCCUGAUACUUUACAAAAGAACUUGCUGGUGUCUUCGGUCUUUUCUCUUGGUUAGGGUUCCACAGUUUCUCUUUAGGAAUGUAACAUAAAACGUAUUAGUGAAUGUGCCAGUACGUUUUAUGGUCCAGUUCAUGUGCCUUUCAGACUUUUAAAAUGGUGUUUUUCUGAAAUCUGUUUGAAGUUCUAUAUUGUAAAAGGAAAUUCUGUUCUGCUAUAAAUUUGUAAAAAAAUCAGCUUUCAGCUUUUAUCACUGUUAUGGAAAAUGUUGCUCCCAUGAGCUCCUGUCUGUCUAUUUCAGAACUUCCAAAGAAGUACAUUUCUUCUUUGUACUUAAUGUCAUAUGAAAUGCUUUGAUUCAGAAAGGAUAUAUUUAUUUUUUGAAUAAAAGAGAGAAGUCUUACUUGGAAUGUUAUUUUGCAAAAAAAAAAAUGUGGCUUAAUUGUGAAAGCCUAUACUGUGUAAUAAUUUUUUCAUUAAACACUAUAUAGUUCACUCAAAAAAAA